rnacentral:ncRNA from 1 species
GAUAGGUAGGAGCCUGAGAAGCCGGAGCGCCAGCUUCGGUGGAGGCGUCGGUGGGAUACUACCCUGGCUGUAUUGAAAUUCUAACCCGCGGCCCUUAUCGGGCCGGGGGACAGUGUCAGGUGGGCAGUUUGACUGGGGCGGUCGCCUCCUAAAAUGUAACGGAGGCGCCCAAAGGUUCCCUCAGAAUGGUUGGAAAUCAUUCGCAGAGUGUAAAGGCACAAGGGAGCUUGACUGCGAGACCUACAAGUCGAGCAGGGACGAAAGUCGGGCUUAGUGAUCCGGUGGUUCCGCAUGGAAGGGCCAUCGCUCAACGGAUAAAAGCUACCCCGGGGA